rnacentral:rRNA from 1 species
UACGAAGGGGGCUAGCGUUGUUCGGAUUUACUGGGCGUAAAGCGCACGUAGGCGGGUUGUUAAGUCAGGGGUGAAAUCCUGGAGCUCAACUCCAGAACUGCCUUUGAUACUGGCAACCUAGAGGCUGGAAGAGGUUAGUGGAAUUCCCAGUGUAGAGGUGAAAUUCGUAGAUAUUGGGAAGAACACCAGUGGCGAAGGCGGCUAACUGGUCCAGAUCUGACGCUGAAGUGCGAAAGCGUGGGGAGCAAACAGG